GAUCCUGGCCUCGCAGUUAGCCCUAGGUCUAUGCGCUGUUUAAAAAAAUUAAGCAUACAUUUCCAUGACUAUCUGCUUCAAAGUCACCGAACAUUUAACUGGAAGAGGACCAGCUGUUUUUGGUAUUACAGAAUUGGCCUUGAACUUCGCUCUGGAAGGGGCACGUCAACUUGACUCAGGACUGGAGUCUGGCUUUAGAGAUUAGUUGCAAUAAUAACAGUUCUAACAAACGUCGUCAGGAAAGCGAUCAGACUA